rnacentral:rRNA from 1 species
CCUACGGGAGGCAGCAGUGGGGAAUAUUGCACAAUGGGCGCAAGCCUGAUGCAGCAACGCCGCGUGAGGGACGACGGCCUUCGGGUUGUAAACCUCUUUUAGCAGGGAAGAAGCGAAAGUGACGGUACCUGCAGAAAAAGCACCGGCUAACUACGUGCCAGCAGCCGCGGUAAUACGUAGGGUGCAAGCGUUAUCCGGAAUUAUUGGGCGUAAAGAGCUCGUAGGCGGUUUGUCGCGUCUGCUGUGAAAACUGGGGGCUCAACCCCCAGCCUGCAGUGGGUACGGGCAGACUAGAGUGCGGUAGGGGAGAUUGGAAUUCCUGGUGUAGCGGUGGAAUGCGCAGAUAUCAGGAGGAACACCGAUGGCGAAGGCAGAUCUCUGGGCCGUAACUGACGCUGAGGAGCGAAAGGGUGGGGAGCAAACAGGCUUAGAUACCCUGGUAGUCCACCCGUAAACGUUGGGAACUAGUUGUGGGGUCCAUUCCACGGAUUCCGUGACGCAGCUAACGCAUUAAGUUCCCGCCUGGGGAGUACGGCCGCAAGGCUAAAACUCAAAGGAAUUGACGG